AGGCACUAAAGGGUGUAUUGUCAGAAGAGAAAAGUUCAAUUGCAGAUGCAUUUAUCUUAAAUGCAGCAGCGGCGCUCUUGGUUAGUGGCAAUGUGAACUCUUUGGCUGAAGGGAUCGCUCUGGCUCGCGAGACUCAACUAUCAAGAAAAGCUAUCAAGACGCUCGAUCAGUGGAUAGAUGUGUCCAAUGGGGUUUGAAUCUUAUUUUUUCCAUCUCACAUGUAAGGAUUUCUACCGAAUAUACAGUGGGCUUCAAAUUAUGUGACAAGCGAAAUAGAAAAUGAUACUUAAUUUUGAAGGCUUUGUGUUGGGCAGCUGUAGAAUAUUUUGUGCUGGAAGUAGUAACUUUUCAAUAUGUUGAAUAUUUAAGACUAC